ACAGCCGGCAAUGAAGACCCUGUUGGCUCUCUUGCUAUGGUGCAUCAUCUGCCCUGAUGGCAAUGCUGAAGACAAUACAUGCUUCCCAGAGGUUCGUGUCAAGAGGAAUACUGUUUGGAAGGUUCUAGAGAUGAGCACCCUAAAACUCAGCUGCCCUGUGAAAUACUGUGACAAGCAACCUGUUAUCACAUGGUGCAAACUGGUGGACGUGGAGAACUGCACACCACUGGCUGAAAAUCCUAAUGUUAAAAUAUGGCAGCAUGUGCCAGUCAACACUGAAGGAAAUCUCACUAUAUCCUAUAUGGUGAUCCAAAAGAUAACAAAGUACGACAGUGGUUUAUAUAGAUGUGGUGCUUUUGACAGCACUGCUGGACAUUCAAUCACUGUUAAUGUCACUGGUGUUGACCAAUUGGAAAACACAACCUACAACACAGGUAA
ensembl:lncRNA